UGGGGAAUUUUCCGCAAUGGGCGAAAGCCUGACGGAGCAAUGCCGCGUGGAGGUGGAAGGCCUACGGGUCGUCAACUUCUUUUCUCGGAGAAGAAACAAUGACGGUAUCUGAGGAAUAAGCAUCGACUAACUCUGUGCCCG
rnacentral:rRNA from 1 species